CCCUGCUGGACACGAGUCCUACUCCUACACAGAGAGAAAGACCAAGGACGAUACAGGUUAACUGUCAGUCCUAGAACACCCUGCUGGACACGAGUCCUACUCCUACACAGAGAGAAAGACCAAGGACGAUACAGGUUAACUGUCAGUCCUAGAACACCCUGCUGGACACGAGUCCUACUCCUACACAGAGAGAAAGACCAAGGACGAUACAGGUUAACUGUCAGUCCUAGAACACCCUGCUGGACACGAGUCCUACUCCUACACAGAGAGAAAGACCAAGGACGAUACAGGUUAACUGUCAGUCCUAGAACACCCUGCUGGACACGAGUCCUACUCCUACACAGAGAGAAAGACCAAGGACGAUACAGGUUAACUGUCAGUCCUAGAACACCCUGCUGGACACGAGUCCUACUCCUACACAGAGAGAAAGACCAAGGAC